UCAGUGUGCAAAUCAGUGCAAAUCAGUGCAAGUGUACGUAUGCAAUAGUGGCUUUUCUUUUAUCGUUGCAGUUUUUUCGGACUGCGUAACAAGAUGCGAAAUUUAAACAAUCUGUGAUAAAAUUUGUCAAGAUGUCUCCCCGUGUCGCCUCUGUUUAUCGUUUGACGUUGCAGAUUUUUAGGGAUUAAGAGGAAGGGGUCCAAUUUCUUCGAUGACAGUUGCUGAUUAUUCUUCAGAUUUAUGAAACUCUCUCAUCGUAGACCAGUAAGAUGCGAAAGAAAUCAUUCAGCGGUCCAAAUGAUCUCCAGAAGGUGACGAGACAGAUCGUGCACCAGCGGAAUGGACAACGGGAAGGCUCUCCACAUUACGUGCUCUUAUACUCGGAAGACGAAGGCAGUGGAGAUGAAAUCCCGCUUCAGCCACGUAUGGCAGUUCGGUCCUCUCCAAGGAAGGUGGAAGUUAUUAACGUUGUCAUUAAUCCCAAUGACACGUUGCAAGCUUUAGCUCUGAGAUACAGAUGCACGAUAUCUGAAUUAAAAAGGAUUAAUAAGAUUCACAAGGAAAAUGAGAUAUAUGCCCAUCGUUUGAUUAAAGUUCCUGUUCAACCUUUCUCAAUUCUGACAGAGACGUUAAGUCAGAAUCCAAAUACAACAGAGAAUAAAGUCGUGAAGGAUGACGAAGACAACCGAACGAGUGAACAAAGGGAAGAACAAAUUAUAAACUUGUUAGCUUCUCCUGCAACACCGUCGACAUCGCGAAUGGGAUUUAACAACAUUAAUGACAUUAAUGACAUUAUUUUAAACUCCACGUGCGAGCCUUUGUCGUUAUUUACAAAUGGCUCUUUAGAAAUGGCUGAAGAAACGGAGAACGACCGGUUACUCGAGAGAGAUCAUUCUACUACUACGGGACAGUCUCGAAUUGUGGAUACGUUUAAGUGUUCCGGAGCAGAUUGGGGAUUAUCCUGGGCUCAGCUUUUGGGAGUUUCCUUACUCUUAGGCUUUGCAGGGCCUAUAAUAUACAUCCUCUACUUAGCUGAAUAUCCUAAGCACCCUGUCACUUCGGGACAUUAACGUAACAAUGUUGAACCUACGAAUUAGAUGAAUGCGCGUGAAAACAUAUUCUUCCUCGUACUGCGAAAAAUUUGUGAUAACGUAGAUGCUAAUGUACUUUUGUACAAACGACUAACUUAUAAGGAGAAGGAAUCAUUUAGGAGAUAAUUAUUAUGUUUACAUUGUUUAGCUGACAGCAGCUAAUUAAUUAUCCUGCGUGUUUCAAGUGGCUCGAUGCCUUGGUUUAGCGUUUACAGAAAUUUUAAACAGCAUGCAAUUAGUUGCAGGCGAAACGACGAGAUUCAACUAAUCAUGUUGAACACUUAGUUGAAAGUCUGAUGCAAAGAACACACCCAGCCGAAUAAUCUUCGUACUUUUUUUGCCCCUUUAAGUGAAAAAUGUGGCAAAGAUCUUUCAGUGUUCGGUUCGUUCAAACUUCCAAUAUUUUCACAGUUUUUUAAAUAUAUAUAUAUCCAUCACUGUGAAUCAAUUAUGGGAGUUUUUAUACGGCGGACAAUGUAUUGACAAUCGUAUUGAGAAAUAUAUUUUUCAAUAUUUAA
rnacentral:misc_RNA from 1 species